rnacentral:tRNA from 1 species
AAAUUUAAGCUAACAGACUAAAGGCCUUCAAAGCCUAAAGGAGAAGUUAAAACUUCUAAUUUCUG